GUGCUAAGCUUAGUGCUCUCUCUCCCACCACCAGUGGCAGAGCCACUGUGUGGGGAGAAACACCUUUUUAUCUUGGAGAGGGGCAGCCUUGUUUCUGAGGACAGAUGGGAGCAAAACGGGACAGGUAGGAAGUUUCGUGGUUUCUCGUGUCGCUUCUCCAAAAUAGCCACACUGCUGCCUCCCACUUCCUGCCUGACUCGGCUGGGGUAGAUUUUCUCCUUUAGAGGAUUUGUGUUCUGUGUAUUCCCAGGGAGGCUCGAAGGGAUCUGUUGCCAAAAACAUGCUUGACACUGAAGCCCUGGAGCUUGGCACUGAGGGCCCCAGCUCAGGUUUGGACCACUGGGUUUGCAUCCGGGCUCUGUCUCAUACUGGCUGCGUGACCUUGGGCAAAUGACUUCACUUCUCUGUGCCUCAUCAGUAGGAUGGAGAUAACAACUCUAGCUAUAUCCAGCAGUUACUCUGCAGAUUAAAUGAAUAUGUGUAAAGGGCACAGCCCAGUGUGGGCACAUAGCAACUCUUAAUGAAUCUCUUAAUAAAAAACAGCAAUGUUGUUGUUGAUCUCCAUCCCCUACCUGGAAAACUGUACCAGCCUCCCAGCCACCUUCCCUUUCCCCUGGCUUGCCUGCUCCAGCACAUCCCAGCAUGAUCCGAGAGUGAUAGAAACGUGAAACACAAAUCUGACCCUGCUAUCUGCUGCUUAAAAUCCACCCAUAGCUUCCAGCGUCUAUGGCAGGAAUGAGCAUUCUUUUGCUCUGAAUGGCCAGAUAGUAUUUGAAGCUUUGCCGGGCAUAUAGUCUCUCUUGACUUUGUCAUUGCAGCCUGGAAGCAACCACAGAUAAUAUGUAAAAAAUGGGCGUGGUUGUGUUCCAGUAAAAUUUUAUGUACGAAAACAGGCAGCCGGCUGGAUUUGCCAACCCUUGACCUACAGGAUGAAUCCAGACCCUUAGCUCAGCAUUCCCAGUUCAGCCUGUUCCCGUUAUCUCCAUCCUUCUUCCUCCCCCACCCCUGCUCUUGUGCAGAACAUGUCACACUUUAAUCCUUUGCGUGUGCUGCUCCCUCUUUCUGAGUUUUCCUUCCCUGCCCCCUGAGUGCCCCUUCCCCAUGGCAUUAGGACCUUUACUCUGGGAUUCUGUGGUACCCUGUCUUUAUUUCUACCCUGGUCAUAUAUGCAAGUUCCAUCUGUCUCUCCAUGAGAGGGGCUCCCCUCUAGGCAGGGAUUCGGCCUUCCUCUUCUGUACACCCAGCAGGGUGCUGCUGUAUAGGUUUCUGCAGGUGCUCAGUAAGCAUUUGUUAUUGAACCCAAGGAUCUGCAAGAUGGAUGGUUGGCCUCAGGGAGCUCACAGUCAGCUUAGAAAGCUAGGAUAUGAGCCAGUCAAAAGCCAGCCAGCAAUCCAGGCAGGAAAUGAUGAUGGUCUGUGUGUUUGGCCCUAACUGAUGUCAAGUGGAGAUUCUGAGCUUGAUAGAGGAAGGUGAAGGCAUUUGAGUUGGAUGUUGCAGGGUGGGAAAGAGACUUGCAGAGAUAGGGAGGUCAGGAAGUCUUUCCAAGUUGGGGAAGUCAUAAGAGAAGAGCAGGGCUGACCAGGCCUGGGGGCUUAGGCCUGUAAUCCCAGCUACUUGGGAGGCUGAGGCAGGAGGAUCACCUGAGCCGGAGAGUUUGAGACUAGAAUGGGCAAGGUAGUGAGACCUCAUCUCAAAAACUAGAAAAAUAAAAAAUUUAGCCAGAUGUGGUGGUCAUACUCCUGUAGUCCUAAAUAUUGAGACUGAAGCGGGUGGAUGGCUUGAGCCCAGGAGACGGAGGCUGCAGUGAGCUGUGAUUAUACCACUGCACUGCAGCCUGAGGGACACAGCAAGACCCUGUCUCGAAAAACAAAACAAAACAAAAGAAGAAGAAGAGCAGGCUCAUUGCUGAGCUCAGGGUGGGGAGUGGACAGAGCAGUCUGGCCACGGCUGCAGGCCCUCCCUUGGGAGACAGAGGGGGCCAAUGCUGGAAAGCAGGGCGAAGUUUUCAUCAAUGAGUUGGGGGUGGUGAGGAAGCUUAGACUUUAUCCUGUGAGCCAGAAUUUCUCCAUGUGUGUCCACAUACCCUCCCAUAACAGAAUUACCUUGAGUUUCUUUAAAAUGCAGAUUCCAGGGCUCUGUCCCAUACUGGGGGCCAGGAGGCUGAAGGGGGUCAAGGCCGUGGUCUGUGGGAGGAAGAGGCUGCACCAUGGCUAUGGGUGCACCACAAGUAUUAUUCAGACUGGUGUCACCUGUAGGAAGCCGGGUGAUGCCUUUCCCAGCUGGACUGGGGACAGGUGAGGCGGGAAUGAAUAAUCCUCCCAAAGGGCAAUUGGGAACACCCAAGCUCAAACGUGGCAAGUGACUUGCCCAGGGUCACACUGUCAAUUACUUGCAGGUGUGGGGCUGACCAGUUAUGGAACAGGCUUCCUCUCCCAAUCUCAGGGCCUCGGGUGGUCCUCGAGGUGCCGCAGGUGGAAGAAGAACAGGCCAAGGCAAAUGCCUCCGGUACCCAGCACUGCCUGGUGCACAGUAGUGGUUGAUCAGUAAUUGUUGAACCAAUCAGGGUUUCUGUUUGCUUGAAGGAAAGGGUAGGAGUGGAGGGUGAGUGACUGGGUGAAUGGGUGCUAUGAGGACAAAGGAGAGUGGAGUUUAGAGGUAGCACUAGUGUCGCAAGCCUGAAGGUUUACCAGAGACAGAGGGGUGAAAAGAUGAGUGGGGCACUAAGCAUAUUGAAUGUGAGAGCUGCUGGAAAUGCAGGAUUGGGGCGUGCUGGGUGGGGCAGGUGAUGUGUGCAGCUGUGGAAGCUGCUACCAAGUCAAGGGCUCUUUUGUAAAAGAAGACACUGAACUAAAAGAUGCUUAGAAGCCUGUCCAGUUCCAAAGCCAUUGGCAUCUUCUCUAAUUAAAGAGUGAACUCCAGUUUCUUAUGAUGUGGGAGUAGAAUUUGGCUGGUCUUUAAUAUCUCACAAAGGGUCUCUUUCUCAGGAAGGCAUGUGUGUGAUUUGGGAGAGGUGAAGAUGAGAAGUCUGAAUCCUACCUACUUGGUUCUCUCCCGUGCAUCAUGGAUGUCAGGAAACACUGUUGAUAUCUCCUGUGCACUGUCAAUGUCCCUCUCUGUGUGUCUUUGAAUGGGGAGCAAGGGGCAUAAGCCAGAUCACCCCAGGCGGUGCCGCACUUUAAGAGGUAUCUGGACCAGCCCUCAGGAGCAUGCAGCCCUUGUCAGAGGAACUUUUGAAGAAACUGGGUAACAGAAUACUUGAGAGACAGACUUGCUGUCCUCAACCACCCCAGGGGUUGUCUGGAGAAAAAGGGUCAGAGAUGUUCUGUGUGGUCCUCGGGACAGAAUCAAAACCAAAAUCUCAAAGUACAUCCUACCCUGCCUUUAACUGAACGGGAUAGUCUGCUGUUUGCAAAAAUAUACAUGCCAAGACACGUCCUUUGUGCAGGUGGGGAACAAAGAUGUUGGCUGGGGGCUUAAUUCUACAGCACUGCCCAUUGCCCUGCUGUGGCAUUCAUCAGUGGAGCCCACAUGGUUCCACUUGGGGUGCUCUAAGUUUCCUCCUAGACCCAUGGGUUUGUAUGAGCCAUGCCAACCAUGACACCAUGACCUGUCUGAAAUGGACUCCACCUUGGUCAGAAUGGAACCAUCUAAGCCCUUGGGACUUGCACCCUCUGUUGAGCUUUGAGAUCAUCUCAGAAAUGGUACUCUCCCUGCAGACUCAGAGCCUUUAGACUCAGGGCUGGUGGCCCUUGACACGCCUCUCUCACCACCAGAUAAUUAUAUUUUCAGGCAGCUGUUCCUUGGGGAGGAAUAUUGAGUGCCGUCCCAUGUGCUAUCUGUUUCUGACCAUUCUGAUUCUGCUGCUGACCUCAGACUGCCCAUGUUGUGGCUACCUCUCCCAUCUGAGUCCCUGCACUGCCCAGUCACAGACAUCUGCUGCCGGACGCCACACUGCCCUGAUGGCUCAGAGCGGCCAGCUCCAACCUGCGUGAUCUCACAGGCAUUGUGGCCUGGGCGUCAGGGUGCUGUGAGAAACACCAGGAAACACUGAUAUUUUUAGUGCAAAUGAUGAAAAACGUUAUGCUAAGUGAAAGAAGCCAGACACAAAAGGACAUAUGGCGGGUGAUUCCAUUUUUAUGAAAUGUCCAGAUAAGGCAAAUUUAUAGAGAUGGAAACUAGAUGAAUUAGUGGCUGCCAGGGGCUGGAGGGAAGGGAAUGUGGAGUGAUUGCUAAUGGGUACAGGAUUUCUUUUCAGAGUGAUACAUGUGUUCUGGAAUUACAUCAUUGGGAUGGUUGCACAACCCUGUGAAUUUUAUGGUCCCUUGGAGCUUCCUUGGGCGCUUCCUGGAAGGAGGUGCUGCAUUCACCCUGCCAGGGCCAGGUUGGGACAAUGAGAGGCAGAGACUGCCCCAUUUCUGUGUGGCAAACAAGAAACAUGGUUUAUCGGUUCUUCUGAGGCUUCAGUUGUACCUCAGACCCUAAAGGGCCCAGCUCUGCCCAUCUCUUCCAUGCAAAGAUGAAGGGAGGGGACAGGGGCUGGCACUGUGGUACCCUGAAGGAGGCACUUAGGACGGUGAUGAUUCUAGGCCCUGAUGAAUUCAUUUUUUAAGCCAGCAAACCCUCCUGGUCCCCUGAGUUCAGGAUACCGUAUUUGUCCAAGCAAAGGAUAGCUCAGGAAUACAGAAAUGAGUCUGAUCCUAGGCAGGACUCAGGGAACACCAUGAAUCCUUGAGAACCAUGGGACGGAGAAUCAGAGUCCUGAGCUGUGGAUCCAGCCCAGCCACUUUCCACCUCUCUGAACCUCUGUUUCCUCAUCUGCAAAACGAAGUGAUAAGCCCCUUCCCAGAGGGCUGUUUUGAGGAAAUUCUUAGUUAUGAAGUAUGUUAGACAUUGUGUUUGCAGUCUUAGGGGGCAGUUGGAGCCAUGAACAGGAGGUCUGCAAGGAGGAACUUGGGUGAAAUUAAAUGAGACAGUGGCUACAGGGGCCUUUGGUGAGCUGUAGUCACUGCACUAACGUAAGGCGGCAUUGUUGGGAUUAUGAUCCAUCUGAAACAGGGGUGUAAACACCGGCCAGGGGAAGGCAGAAUGGGUUCUGUCUGAGAUGGAAAGAGGUCCCAGGGAGAAACUGGCAGUGGUGACAAGAAGGAUUUGGCUGAACAAAGAAGGGAAGAUGGGGGACCGGGCAGCAGGCCAAGGGAGGGGCUUGAACCCUGGCAGGAGGCAGAAAGGGUGAGAGGAGCUGGGGCACAGUGUGGGAUUUUCAGAGUUCACCUGGUUGAAUGGAAGAAAGCCUGUAUGAACUGCAAGAGCUUAUUUUUUGGAAAUGCAGCCCCACGAAAUCAUACUUGACAACAUCGUCUUGUUCAGGGAGCACAGAGUGGGAGCUUGGGGGGUCUCAGGGCAAGUUUAAGAAGGCUGAGGAUGAUGACUGCUCCCCUCAGGCACACAAACAGUACAUUCCCUGAGUGCUUUUGAGAGCUCAGAUGUUGUCAAAAAAGGAAGAUCUGGAGGUCAGAUCAGGACCUAGAGUGCGAAUGCCUCACAAGAAAUUGCGCUCGGAAUUCAUGAUGGAAAUUUUAGCAGGGCACACAGCCACUCAGCUAAACACUACACUGCCUCACCCUCCUAGCAGCUAGGAGUGGCCAUGGGCUCGUGUGAGCUGAAAUGACAAGUGCAACUCCCAGCUCUGCCCUCCCCUUUAUCGUUCCCACUGAGUAGGGUGUGGAUGUGAUGGUGGGAGAUGGAAGUCAUGUGCUGUGGAUAUCAGAAGACCAAGAUCAAAGAUGUCCACACGGUGAAGCCACCAUAUCAGCCAUGGCCACUUAAACUCAGAUUGCACAUAAGACAGAAAUAAACUGUCUCGUCUAAGCCACUCCUGCAGUUAGGUCCUUGUUAUAGGAGCUAGAACCUGUAUCCUAAUACAUAUCCUAACUUUACAACAUAAUCCCUCAUUCAUAAAUAUAUUGGAUAACCAAAAUCACCAAACAUUGGAAGCAAACCAAUAGAAUGAAAGAGAAGGCCUAAAAUGGAAAAAAGAAAAAAAAAAGGAAGAGCUUAUUUCAAAGGAAACAGUUUGAAUAUAAGAAAGCCCAAAACUAAAUUAUCAGUAGUAUCCUUAACAGUAAGUAAGAGGUUCUUUCAUUCACCUCUGUAAGUGAAAUAACCUAUAAUAUCAGAGGAGCAGGUUGCUAUGAAGAUAGCACAAUUGGAGGAAAGGAAAUACUUGCUGAAAUUGUAAAAUAUCAUUAUGGAAAAAACUUCAGUGGAAAAACUGAAUAACACAAUGGAUAUGCAUGAAGACCAGAUUGGUCAUUUCAAUGUUAAAACCAAGAAAACCUCCCAGAAAGCAGAGCAAAGUCUCAAGAAGAAAACAUUAAGACCCAUGGAGGAUAGAUCCAGAGGUUCAGUAUCCAUCAACUAGGAGAUCUAGAACUAGAAGCCACAGACAGUCAGGGGGUGGGUAGAAAUAGUGAAAGAUAUAGCCAAAGAAAUUUCCUCUCAGUUGAGAAAUACACACGGCCAGGCUUGGUGGCUCACACCUAUAAUCCAGCACUUUGAGAGGCUGAGGUGGGAGGAUUGCCUAAGCCCAGGAGUUCAAGACCACACUGAGCAAUAUGGUGAGACCCCAUUUCAAUUUAAAAAUAAAAAUAAAAAAAAAAGAAACACACACAGAUUUUAAACUAGAAAGAUCAUACUGACUUUAGGGCAGGAAUUAGUAAAAUGAGCAUGCAGACCCAUCUUGGUGAAAUUUCAGAACAUCAAGGAUAAAAAACAAAAAACUUCCAGAGAGACUCAAAAAUUACCUCAGAAUUUCUCACCAGUCAUGCAAGAUGCUCCAGUACAGUGGAGUACUUUCACAAUUCUGGAGGAUAAACUAAGAGUCAUCCUGUCAAACUUUGAAAAAAAUAGUUUUUUAAAUGUGUAAGAUUCAGAAAGUUUGUCACUCA
rnacentral:lncRNA from 1 species